rnacentral:rRNA from 1 species
CCUAACCAUGCAAGUCGAGCGGUAGCACAGAGAGCUUGCUCUCGGGUGACGAGCGGCGGACGGGUGAGUAAUGUCUGGGAAACUGCCUGAUGGAGGGGGAUAACUACUGGAAACGGUAGCUAAUACCGCAUAACGUCGCAAGACCAAAGUGGGGGACCUUCGGGCCUCAUGCCAUCAGAUGUGCCCAGAUGGGAUUAGCUAGUAGGUGGGGUAACGGCUCACCUAGGCGACGAUCCCUAGCUGGUCUGAGAGGAUGACCAGCCACACUGGAACUGAGACACGGUCCAGACUCCUACGGGAGGCAGCAGUGGGGAAUAUUGCACAAUGGGCGCAAGCCUGAUGCAGCCAUGCCGCGUGUGUGAAGAAGGCCUUCGGGUUGUAAAGCACUUUCAGCGGGGAGGAAGGCGUUGAGGUUAAUAACCUUGUCGAUUGACGUUACCCGCAGAAGAAGCACCGGCUAACUCCGUGCCAGCAGCCGCGGUAAUACGGAGGGUGCAAGCGUUAUGGCGGAAUUACUGGGCGUAAAGCGCACGCAGGCGGUCUGUCAAGUCGGAUGUGAAAUCCCCGGGCUCAACCUGGGAACUGCAUUCGAAACUGGCAGGCUAGAGUCUUGUAGAGGGGGGUAGAAUUCCAGGUGUAGCGGUGAAAUGCGUAGAGAUCUGGAGGAAUACCGGUGGCGAAGGCGGCCCCCUGGACAAAGACUGACGCUCAGGUGCGAAAGCGUGGGGAGCAAACAGGAUUAGAUACCCUGGUAGUCCACGCCGUAAACGAUGUCGAUUUGGAGGUUGUGCCCUUGAGGCGUGGCUUCCGGAGCUAACGCGUUAAAUCGACCGCCUGGGGAGUACGGCCGCAAGGUUAAAACUCAAAUGAAUUGACGGGGGCCCGCACAAGCGGUGGAGCAUGUGGUUUAAUUCGAUGCAACGCGAAGAACCUUACCUGGUCUUGACAUCCACAGAACUUUCCAGAGAUGGAUUGGUGCCUUCGGGAACUGUGAGACAGGUGCUGCAUGGCUGUCGUCAGCUCGUGUUGUGAAAUGUUGGGUUAAGUCCCGCAACGAGCGCAACCCUUAUCCUUUGUUGCCAGCGGUUCGGCCGGGAACUCAAAGGAGACUGCCAGUGAUAAACUGGAGGAAGGUGGGGAUGACGUCAAGUCAUCAUGGCCCUUACGACCAGGGCUACACACGUGCUACAAUGGCAUAUACAAAGAGAAGCGACCUCGCGAGAGCAAGCGGACCUCAUAAAGUAUGUCGUAGUCCGGAUUGGAGUCUGCAACUCGACUCCAUGAAGUCGGAAUCGCUAGUAAUCGUAGAUCAGAAUGCUACGGUGAAUACGUUCCCGGGCCUUGUACACACCGCCCGUCACACCAUGGGAGUGGGUUGCAAAAGAAGUAGGUAGCUUAACCUCGGAGGGCGCUUACCAACUUGGAUC